rnacentral:lncRNA from 1 species
AGAAAAUCUGAAAAUUCACAUAUCUGCACAGAUAUCUUGCUUUGUGAAUGUUAGCAGCUUAUGUCAUUUUUUUCUUUUAAAUAUAAUCGAGCCAAAUUCACAAGGCCACUGUUUGGCAACUUCCACUUCAGGGGUGCUCAGUGAGGAAGAGAGAAGUGCCAAAAGGUUUCUACCCUACUCCUUUCGAGGGCUUUCUGUCUCUUCCCUCGCACACCAGAGGAACGUCGCAAGCAGCAUCUCUCUUCCACUGGGAAGGGUAUGAGCUCUGGAGAAAGUGAGAGUCAGGCCCUUUAAAGAAAAGCUUGCACUCCCAGAUCCAGUCCCUUCCCUCCUGCCCUUGGAGAGAGACCUGUGUAAUGGAACACUGUCACAGAAAAGAAUGAGCACAGGUUUGAAUUUCUCCAAGGCAGGAGAGCCUUUCCGUGUUCACAGGCCCUUACGGAUCACUGUGGGGCCUCUUGCAGAGACAAGUAAGCCGGAAGAAUGAAGGCAAGAUCUCUAUUUUCAAUGUAUUGGGUUCAAGGGAAUAGCAAGCCUUCCAAAUUGUAAUACAUGGUUUAGGGUAGAUUUUAUAUGAAAUCCAAUUCUAAAAAUUAUAGAUUUGGUAACUAUGAGAACAGAGAAAACAAUUCAAUCAAUAGAACUGAUACAAUUCCCAAUGAGGUUAAUAAAUAUGGCACAUGGCCAGGACUGGGAGGGUAAAGAAAUGGACUUGAAUUUGACUCAUCCAUACUGAUGAGAUAUUAUAGUAACCUUCAGAGGGUGUCUGCAACCAGACAAAGGAGUGAACAAUAUCAUAAAGCAGGAUUUGGAAACUUUGGGAAUCUCUAUAUGAAGAUGCUUUACUGAGAAGAAAAGCCAGGAAGCCAGAAAUGAUGGUGUUCCAGCAGCCAGGCCACAGAAGACACCAGAGAAAUCUAUUUCUAGCGGGACUGUGAAAACAGCCCAUUUACCAAAACAUGGAUAAUCUAAUCACAGAUCUUCCUUAAUUUAUCUGGGGUUGUGUCCCCAUUAGCCCAUUAUAAAUUGAAAAUAUCCUACGUUGAAAUGCAUUGACAACACCUAACCUGUUGAACAUCAUAGCUUAAGCCCGACCGACCCGCAACGUGCUCAGAACACCAACAUUAGCCUACAACUGGGCAAAAAUUAUCUAACUCAAAGCCUAUUUUAUAAGGAAGUAUUAAGUAUCUUAUGUAAUUUGUUGAAUACUCUACUGGAAGUGAAAACAGAAUGGUUUUCUGGGUACAGAAUGGUCAUAAGCGUAUGAGUUGUUUCCCCUGUGGAUCAUCGCUGCCACUACAGCAUGAGAAAAAGUGUUUAAUGCAUAUCGUCAGCCCAGGAAGAGAAGAAAAGUCAAAAUCUGCAGUAUGCGCUCUACUAAGUGUGUAAUGCUCUUACACCACCGUAAAGUUGAAAAUUCAUCAAACCAUCAUCUAUCAGAGACCAUCGGUGGGAUAAAAUGAGUCUGGCAUACCUGGAGUUCCUGCUGUGGUGCAGUGGGAUCAACCACAUCUCUGGAGCCUCUCUGAAGGCUAGGACCCAAGUUCCAUCCCUGGCCUGGUACAGUGGGUUAGGGGUCCAGAGCUGUCACAGCUGGAUCGAACCUGCAACCCCAUGGCUCCUAGUUGGAUUCAUUUCCGCUGCACCAUACCACUGAGCCACAAUGGGAACUCCCAUGACAGGAACUCUAAACUUCAACUAUUUUUAUCAAGAAUGAUUAAACUUAACAUCAAUUCUUUCUGAACUUUCACUCUUUAUUCCUCAACUAGUUUUCUCCACAGUCAGCUUUUGCUUUCCUGUGCCACUUGGGGUAGGGUUGAAUAGGGAACAGAGGGAGCUCUGAGGGCCCUCUGGUCGUCACCAUGGGCUCUCCACUCUCAUCAGUGUCCUCGGGGGCCAAUUUCACUGUUUCCCUGAUGACUGCUGCUGGGACCUUGGUUGCACACCUCUCACUGGGAGACUCUGCAGUGAUAAGACACCUGUUCGCAGAGCAGAAGCAGGUGCAACAGAGUGUAAAGAUGCAGGAUUUUUUUUUUUUUUUAAGCUCUCUGGAAUUCAUUUGUUAUACUCGUCUCUGGAUCACAUUAAGUCUCUAGAUUUCAUUUGUUAAAAUUUUCUCUGGGUCUCUGAAAAGGCACCUAGAGAGCUUAAAUUGUGAAGCAGGGAGGAGUUCUUCACUCAUCUUUUAAACAGCAGCAAAUGCUCAGGAAUGUUUCGGAGGUCCUGUGUGAUUUCUUUACCUGAAGUUUGGUUCUGGAGCUAUUUUCCCUCAUUUUUUUUUCUUACUUUGACAAAUUCCUCAUGAUUUCCAAAUAAGACAGUAAUGACUUCGGAGAUAGCAGCACUGACAUUCCAUUGGCUUGGGCUUCUUGCUGGUUCCCUCAGGCUAUAUCAGGUCCUAAAAUCACAUACUUCCUACCCAUUUAUUACCUAGAAGUCCUUACAUAUAAGCACUGCAUGAUGGCUAUCAGUGACUUCCUAACAUUUGACCUCCAGGAGUAUAUUCAGAUAUGUGGAAAGAGAACUCUAUUCUCUGAAAUCUGUGUGUCCUAACAGAGCUUAAUGUCAGCUUGUCACAACUACCAAUAUUAUGGUUAACAUGGGAGGAAGUGAGCUUAAACCAGCUAGGGCAGAAGGACAGGCCCCUAUAGCAGGAAACCAACAGUCUGCAUCAUCUGGUCCAAAGAGACAGUCAUGCUGCUCUGGUUAAUCCAAGGGCAGUAGCCAGCCCAUUGGGGCAGAUGAGCAGUUGAGUGUGGGAGAGGGAGUUCUGGGAGGUUCAUAGCAUCAGUCAUGACUGUGGGAUCAUACAUCUGGGGAUCCAGCCCAGGUCAUGUGCAGAUGAGUGGACAUAUAACCCAGCUCCAAAGAAAUGGGCUUGAAGGAAUGGAUGAGGGGCCAGGAUCCUUCUUCCCUCUGCUGGGAUUCAAAUUUCGCUUUAUAAGUGUUCCUUGGUGGCCUAGCAAGUUAAGAAUCCAACAUUGUCAUGGCCGUGGCUCAGGAUGCUGCUGUGGCACAGGUUCAGUUCAUGGCCAUGGAACUUCCACAUGCCAUGGGUGUAGCUGGAAAAACAAAAACAAAACAGAUUUGGCUUUAUAAAGAAUCACCAAGAAAAAUUGGAUAGACUCAGAUCCAAAGACCCAGAAAAGCCCCGAGGUGAUACUGCUGCUGCCAGUCUAUGUUUGAGGCACAACAGUGAUAGAAGUUGUGGGCUGGGGUGAUUCCCAGUAUAGUGACUGCCUUGCCUUUUCUGUGCAAAGUGCAGCACAUACCUUUUCAUGGCUUUCUUCUGACCCCUGGAUGCUCAUCUCUCCUUGUCAUGGAGUAGAGUUUAUUCAGGCAUGCCUGUCCUCUCUGAGAAGACCCUAUGUUCUCUAAAUAAUUUUUUCUCACAGUCCUCCAACAACUAACUCAUCAAAACUCCUAAUCUCUAAGUGUUCUCAUCUAGUUUUCAUGUGACAAAUCCAUAUCAUUCAUUGUAGUUUUAGUCAGUAAGCACUAAUUAAAUCAAAAUGUUUAUGAAAUAUUUGGAUAUUUACUUUUUCCUGUAAAAAAUAGACAAUAUCCCCAAAGAAAUGGAUAUGUAAUGGAGGCAUUUCAAUCACCAUGGCAAGUAGAUAAAGAAAACAUCUUAAGGCAGCAUAGGUACAGUACUAUGCAUCAUCUCGAAAUAUUAUAGUUAAAGCUUCUCAAACUUCAGGUGGGGUCUCCAGAAGCUAUGGAAUUCUGAUUGCCACACUGGGCUAUUGCUGGCUCAGCAGUAUCUCUGAGGUUCUGAACCGGCUUCAGAACCAUGGGUGGUAGCCAAAGAGACCUAUAUUCCAGCUAAAAUUAUCAAGGUAAUUUAUGCAGAAUUUGUCUCCUACAUUCAAAAUGACACUACGGUGUGCAUAGUGUCAGCUGAGCAUUUUCAUGGGGAAAACGAUCCAUAUUAUAUAAAUACUCGAGGGUAAGGAGAGACAGGGCUGCAAUCUGAAUUCUUCAUCAGUGCAGGGUUUAGGAAAUGUCCUAAUUGUUGAAUUUAUCUUAAAUCCUGUAAAAAAUAAAUUCUUUAAAGCCAAUUUAAAUACUUUGGCCUUAGCACUAAACUUUUCUAAAUAAGAACGACUUUCUUUUUCUAAAAAGAACAUUUUAGUGAAAAUACUUCUCAAAUAUCCUACAGGCGUUUCUCUAAGCCUCCUCAAGCAAGAGAUUCUCUACAGACUAUGUAAGAUUUCAUUGAUUCCUAAAGAUAAAAAUAUAUUGAUCUUCAGUAUAAACACCUGGAAUCCAUUGUAAAACACUCCAGGACUUUGUUGCUUCUUGCACCUAGGGGCCUGAAAAUCUUGAAAGAUGUUGGUUGCUGCCAGCAAGAUUCUGUGUUUACUCAAGUUUCUUCAUUUCCCAUACGUGUGUGCUUGCAUGCCAAGCCAAGAGCAUUUACUCCCAUCAUUAGUAACCUCUUGCAAAAUAGACUUCCUCAAUACACUACAAAUCCUGAAGGAACAGGAACGAAGCAAAUAAGCUUGGUGUAUUUUUCUUCAGAACCAGAUGCUCCCGCAGUGUGUUUUUGGCAAUGCUUUUAUCCACCUAUUAGACCAGCUGGAAUGGGGGAAAGAGGCAUGCUUUGAGUAAGAAUAAAACAAUUGCAGGAAGAUUUUUCAUCAGCCAGUGUUGUUGAUAAAACAGUCAGCUUGAGGUAAGGAGUGACGCAUAUUGGAGUCCCUGCCUGAGACAUCAAGGUUAUUCAUCAGAAGACCUGGAAGUAAAUUGUAGUCUCCCAAUUUUUUUUUUAAAGACUAAUGUCAUUCAGAUGCUAGCACACAUUCAGGAAUGAUAUAGCUCCUGGCUACUGCUAACUUAGAACUUCCUGGACCAUUUCUAGUAACCUUUCAAACUACCUUCAUCUAACCUGAGAGAUACAGACAUUUUUCAGUUUGAGCAGUUAAUGUCCCUAAUUACAGAAAUUGGUUGGAAAAUGCAUAUGUCAAUUUGCCAAUUAAAGGGGUCCAUUAGAUGACUGACUAGUGGCAUCUCACAUGGCAUUUGAUGGCUUUUAGACAGAUCCAAUCCAGUGCUAUUCCAAGCCAAAAAAAUAUUGAAUAUCCAUAUAGAAAGUGAUUUUAGACUGGGGUUUAGUGUAAGAAAAAUAAGAGCAAAGAGGAUUCCUUACUGCAGUCAUUAUGAAUCUGGGCUGUGCAAUCAAACUUGAACUUGAAUUCUCAUAACAAAAGUUCCUGACUGGUGACAUGCUGGGUUCCUCACCUGCAAUUGUGGACAUAGUCAUUGUGGAGGUAUACUGAGAUCACGUGGGCCACGUAUGCAGAGUUGGCACUUGGGGAGAGCUCAGAGCCCUAAGGCUGGUGCUCCACACUCUGAUCCUCUGCCUAGCUCCAUUCAAUCUUCAUCAAGUCUAAGGAAAAGGGACCAGAAACAAUCAACUAAAAAUUCAGAGGUUCCAUGGGAGGGAGGAUGGGAGGAGCUUUGGAGAACUUUCUAAAACCACAGUCAUCCCCUUAGAAGUCAGGGAAUGAAAGUAGAGCCUUCCAUAAGCAACCUGGGCACCACCACCCAUUUCACUUGCCCUUUUGCUACCAGGUUAACUCUGUUUAAGCACCACUUUUUACACUUUGAUUAUUUUCAUUCCUCUCUCUGUAACUAUUCUCGAAAGGAAAGAUGUCCUGUUACUGUAUUUGCCACAAAUUCAAAGGGAAGCCUUACUAGGGAAUGAACAAAAUUCUCCAAAUAGCUUGAUUUUCCCGCUUCCGCCACAACUGUUGUUGGAUGCCAUCUGCCCUCUGAGCCCAGCUGAGUGAUGCUGUUGGGAUCCCCAGAGGCCCCCGGGGCUGCAGCGUUCAGCAGCUGGAUAGGAGGAGAAGACUAGAAGUCUUUACCCCAGAAGUGUCACUUCUCUGGGGGAUCCAAAGUAUUCCACCAUUUUUUUCCUAGACUGAUGGAGAAAUGAAAAUGGAUGGAAAAGAGAGGACUGGGAAAAUAUGGAAAGAUUAGUACAAAGAUUGCUUUUCACAUCUUACAAGAAAAUGAUUUCUUUGAACAUAGACUCCACUUUGAUGAAGUUGCUGCAUCAAAAUCAAAACUAGGAGUUCCCAUCAUGGCUCAGCGGUAACGAAUCCUGCUAGUAUCCAUGAGGACGCAGGUUUGAUCACUGGCCUUGCUCAGUGGGUCAAGGAUCCAACGUUGCCAUGAGUUGUGGUGUAGGUCGCAGACAUGGACCUCAUGUCAUAUAGGCUGGUAGCUAUAGCUGCAAUUUGACCCCUAGCCUGGGAACUUCCAUAUGCCACAGGUGUGGUC